UUAAAUUUGAUGAAAAAGAGAGUAGUUUAUGGUGUUACUGGAAAGCGAAUUAGGGAUGGUGUGAGCCUAAUGCAGAAGCCAUAAAUGAAACGCACUUUGGAGAAGGUUCUCGAAUUAGUAGUAGAGAAUAUCGGGGAGUCACCUCGUUAACAAUGGAAAGUGGUCAUAUUAUUAUGGCAACUAGAGUGGUACCACGGGAUAACUAUGCUCUCGUCUCUAUA
rnacentral:ncRNA from 1 species